CCUACGGGUGGCAGCAGUGGGGAAUAUUGGACAAUGGGGGGAACCCUGAUCCAGCCAUGCCGCGUGUGUGAAGAAGGCACUCGGGUUGUAAAGCACUUUCAGUGAGGAAGAACGCCUGGUGGUUAAUACCCAUCAGGAAAGACAUCACUCACAGAAGAAGCACCGGCUAACUCCGUGCCAGCAGCCGCGGUAAUACGGAGGGUGCGAGCGUUAAUCGGAAUUACUGGGCGUAAAGCGCGCGUAGGUGGCUUGAUAAGCCGGUUGUGAAAGCCCCGGGCUCAACCUGGGAACGGCAUCCGGAACUGUCAAGCUAGAGUGCAGGAGAGGAAGGUAGAAUUCCCGGUGUAGCGGUGAAAUGCGUAGAGAUCGGGAGGAAUACCAGUGGCGAAGGCGGCCUUCUGGACUGACACUGACACUGAGGUGCGAAAGCGUGGGUAGCAAACAGGAUUAGAUACCCGAGUAGUC
rnacentral:rRNA from 1 species